rnacentral:tRNA from 1 species
GGUGCUGUGGUGUAGUAGGUUAACGCCCUGGCCUGAAGCGCCAGCAUCCGACAUGGGUGUCGGUUCGAGACCCAGCUGCUCCA